rnacentral:rRNA from 1 species
GUUGGGUAGGGGAGCGUUCUGUAAGCCUGUGAAGGUGUGUCGUGAGGCAUGCUGGAGGUAUCAGAAGUGCGAAUGCUGACAUAAGUAACGAUAAAGCGGGUGAAAAGCCCGCUCGCCGGAAGACCAAGGGUUCCUGUCCAACGUUAAUCGGGGCAGGGUGAGUCGACCCCUAAGGCGAGGCCGAAAGGCGUAGUCGAUGGGAAACGGGUUAAUAUUCCCGUACUUGGUGUUACUGCGAAGGGGGGACGGAGAAGGCUAUGUUGGCCGGGCGACGGUUGUCCCGGUUUAAGCGUGUAGGUGUGUGUUCCAGGUAAAUCCGGUUCACUUUAACACUGAGGCGUGACGACGAGGCACUACGGUGCUGAAGCAACAAAUGCCCUGCUUCCAGGAAAAGCCUCUAAGCAUCAGGUAACAUCAAAUCGUACCCCAAACCGACACAGGUGGUCAGGUAGAGAAUACCAAGGCGCUUGAGAGAACUCGGGUGAAGGAACUAGGCAAAAUGGUGCCGUAACUUCGGGAGAAGGCACGCUGACACGUAGGUGAAGUGAUUUACUCAUGGAGCUGAAGUCAGUCGAAGAUACCAGCUGGCUGCAACUGUUUAUUAAAAACACAGCACUGUGCAAACACGAAAGUGGACGUAUACGGUGUGACGCCUGCCCGGUGCCGGAAGGUUAAUUGAUGGGGUCAGCGCAAGCGAAGCUCCUGAUCGAAGCCCCGGUAAACGGCGGCCGUAACUAUAACGGUCCUAAGGUAGCGAAAUUCCUUGUCGGGUAAGUUCCGACCUGCACGAAUGGCGUAAUGAUGGCCAGGCUGUCUCCACCCGAGACUCAGUGAAAUUGAACUCGCUGUGAAGAUGCAGUGUACCCGCGGCAAGACGGAAAGACCCCGUGAACCUUUACUAUAGCUUGACACUGAACAUUGAGCCUUGAUGUGUAGGAUAGGUGGGAGGCUUUGAAGUGUGGACGCCAGUCUGCAUGGAGCCGACCUUGAAAUACCACCCUUUAAUGUUUGAUGUUCUAACGUGGACCCGUUACCCGGGUUGCGGACAGUGUCUGGUGGGUAGUUUGACUGGGGCGGUCUCCUCCUAAAGAGUAACGGAGGAGCACGAAGGUUGGCUAAUCCUGGUCGGACAUCAGGAGGUUAGUGCAAUGGCAUAAGCCAGCUUGACUGCGAGCGUGACGGCGCGAGCAGGUGCGAAAGCAGGUCAUAGUGAUCCGGUGGUUCUGAAUGGAAGGGCCAUCGCUCAACGGAUAAAAGGUACUCCGGGGAUAACAGGCUGAUACCGCCCAAGAGUUCAUAUCGACGGCGGUGUUUGGCACCUCGAUGUCGGCUCAUCACAUCCUGGGGCUGAAGUAGGUCCCAAGGGUAUGGCUGUUCGCCAUUUAAAGUGGUACGCGAGCUGGGUUUAGAACGUCGUGAGACAGUUCGGUCCCUAUCUGCCGUGGGCGCUGGAGAACUGAGGGGGGCUGCUCCUAGUACGAGAGGACCGGAGUGGACGCAUCACUGGUGUUCGGGUUGUCAUGCCAAUGGCACUGCCCGGUAGCUAAAUGCGGAAGAGAUAAGUGCUGAAAGCAUCUAAGCACGAAACUUGCCCCGAGAUGAGUUCUCCCUGAGACUUUAAGUCUCCUGAAGGAACGUUGAAGACGACGACGUUGAUAGGCCGGGUGUGUAAGCGCAGCGAUGCGUUGAGCUAACCGGUACUAAUGAACCGUGAGGCUUAACCUUACAACGCCGAAG